CACGUAUUUAGCCGUUCCUUUCUGGUAAGAUACCGUCACACAUUGAAUAGUUACUCUCAAUGUCAUUCUUCUCUUACAACAGUGUUUUACGAGCCGAAACCCUUCAUCACACACGCGGCGUUGCUCCAUCAGGCUUUCGCCCAUUGUGGAAGAUUCCCUACUGCUGCCUCCCGUAGGAGUAUGGGCUGUGUCUCAGUCCCAUUGUGGCCGAUCAGUCUCUCAACUCGGCUAUGCAUCAUCGUCUUGGUGAGCCAUUACCUCAACCCAAACUAACUAAUGCCACCGGCGGACCAUCUCUUAGUGAUAGCAGAACCAGUUACUUUUAAGUACGACAACCAUGGCGGUUGUACUUA
rnacentral:rRNA from 1 species